UACGGAGGGUGCAAGCGUUAAUCGGAAUUACUGGGCGUAAAGCGCACGCAGGUGGCUGAGAAAGUCGAUUGUGAAGCCCUGGGCUUAACCUGGGAAUUGCAGUCGAAACUACUCGGCUAGAGUAUGGGAGAGGAACGCGGAAUUCCAGGUGUAGCGGUGAAAUGCGUAGAUAUCUGGAGGAACACCGGUGGCGAAGGCGGCGUUCUGGACUGCAACUGACACUGAGGAACGAAAGCCAGGGGAGCAAACGGG
rnacentral:rRNA from 1 species